CGCCUACGGGAGGCAGCAGUGGGGGAUAUUGUACAAUGGGGGAAACCCUGAUGCAGCGACGCCGCGUGAGUGAAGAAGUAUUUCAGUACGUAAAGCUCUAUCAGCAGGGAAGAAUAAUGACGGUACCUGACUAAGAAGCCCCGGCUAACUACGUGCCAGCAGCCGCGGUAAUACGUAGGGGGCAAGCGUUAUCCGGAUUUACUGGGUGUAAAGGGUGCGUAGGUAGUUUAGUAAGUUGGCGGUGUAAUUCCGGGGCUCAACCUCGGCGCUACCGCCAAAACUCUUAGCCUAGAGUGCAGGGGGGG
rnacentral:rRNA from 1 species